rnacentral:lncRNA from 1 species
UGAACAACUAUUCAUAAAAGCACUUAGAAUGUUUGACAGUUGUUAAGUUCUUAACACAUGGCUGUGCAUUAUUGUUAUUAUUGUUACAGCUCCUUGUGGAAUUUUCCUCUUGCAGAUUAUCUGAAUAGGCUGAGCCAUCAGUGGAAAGAGAGGCUGAGCAUCUCAAAAACAGAACAGCUGGGAGUAUGGAGCCAAUGUGACACUCAGUGUCCUGCCUCCAGGGGACUUCGCAAGUUUUCUGGCAUCUGGGAUAUAAAGCAAAAUAAAAGAAGAAAGUCUAGUCUGAGAAAGCACAAAUGGAAUAAGUACUUCUCCUGA